rnacentral:rRNA from 1 species
CCUACGGGAGGCAGCAGUGAGGAAUAUUGGUCAAUGGUCGAGAGACUGAACCAGCCAAGUAGCGUGAAGGAUGACGGCCCUAUGGGUUGUAAACUUCUUUUAUAUGGGAAUAAAAUGUUCCACGUGUGGUGUUUUGUAUGUACCUUAUGAAUAAGGAUCGGCUAACUCCGUGCCAGCAGCCGCGGUAAUACGGAGGAUCCGAGCGUUAUCCGGAUUUACUGGGUGUAAAGGGAGCGCAGGCGGCUGUGUAAGUCUGGAGUGAAAGGCCGGGGCCCAACCCCCGCACUGCUGUGGAAACUGGAAGGCUGGAGUGCGAGAGAGGUAUGCGGAAUUCGUGGUGUAGCGGUGAAAUGCGUAGAUAUUAGGAAGAACUCCGAUGGCGAAGGCAGCAUACUGGAGCGCAACUGACGUUGAGGCUCGAAAGCGUGGGGAGCGAACAGGAUUAGAUACCCCAGUAGUC